CCUUCGGGUGAGCGGCGGACGGGUGAGUAACGCGUGGGAAUAUGCCCUUUGGUACGGAACAACUGAGGGAAACUUCAGCUAAUACCGUAUGUGCCCUUCGGGGAAAGAUUUAUCGCCAUUGGAGUAGCCCGCGUUGGAUUAGGUAGUUGGUGAGGUAAAGGCUCACCAAGCCUACGAUCCAUAGCUGGUCUGAGAGGAUGAUCAGCCACAUUGGGACUGAGACACGGCCCAA
rnacentral:rRNA from 1 species